rnacentral:rRNA from 1 species
GACGAACGCUGGCGGCGUGCUUAACACAUGCAAGUCGAACGGAAAGGCCCUGCUUUUGUGGGGUGCUCGAGUGGCGAACGGGUGAGUAACACGUGAGUAACCUUCCCUUGACUUUUGGAUAACUUCAGGAAACUGUGGCUAAUACCGGAUAGGAGCUCCUGCUGCAUGGUGGGGGUUGGAAAGUUUCGGCGGUUGGGGAUGGACUCGCGGCUUAUCAGCUUGUUGGUGGGGUAGUGGCUUACCAAGGCUUUGACGGGUAGCCGGCCUGAGAGGGUGACCGGCCACAUUGGGACUGAGAUACGGCCCAGACUCCUACGGGAGGCAGCAGUGGGGAAUAUUGCACAAUGGGCGGAAGCCUGAUGCAGCAACGCCGCGUGCGGGAUGACGGCCUUCGGGUUGUAAACCGCUUUCGCCUGUGACGAAGCGUGAGUGACGGUAAUGGGUAAAGAAGCACCGGCUAACUACGUG